rnacentral:rRNA from 1 species
GUGAGUAAUACGUGAGUAACCUACCUUUAACUCUGGGAUAAGCCUGGGAAACUGGGUCUAAUACCGGAUACGACCAAUCUCCGCAUGGGGUGUUGGUGGAAAGCGUUAUGUAGUGGUUAUAGAUGGGCUCACGGCCUAUCAGCUUGUUGGUGAGGUAACGGCUCACCAAGGCGACGACGGGUAGCCGGCCUGAGAGGGUGACCGGCCACACUGGGACUGAGACACGGCCCAGACUCCUACGGGAGGCAGCAGUGGGGAAUAUUGCACAAUGGGCGCAAGCCUGAUGCAGCGACGCCGCGUGAGGGAUGACGGCCUUCGGGUUGUAAACCUCUGUUAGCAGGGAAGAAGAGAGAUUGACGGUACCUGCAGAGAAAGCGCCGGCUAACUACGUGCCAGCAGCCGCGGUAAUACGUAGGGCGCGAGCGUUGUCCGGAAUUAUUGGGCGUAAAGAGCUUGUAGGCGGUUUGUCGCGUCUGCUGUGAAAGGCCGGGGCUUAACUCCGUGUAUUGCAGUGGGUACGGGCAGACUAGAGUGCAGUAGGGGAGACUGGAAUUCCUGGUGUAGCGGUGGAAUGCGCAGAUAUCAGGAGGAACACCGAUG